AUGAGGACGCUUUGUUGGAACUGUGACGGGAUUGGCGACCCCGCGACAGUCAGAGAGCUCCGCGAUUUAGUGGAGGCUUGUGCGCCGAUGGUGCUUUGCAUUGUGGAGACACAGCUUGCGACGUAUAGGGUGGAAGGUAUGGCGGGUAGCUUAGGUUUGUCGGGUCGUUUUGGAGUAGAUAGUGCGGGAAGGAGUGGUGGCUUGUGCUUGUUU
rnacentral:rRNA from 1 species